rnacentral:rRNA from 1 species
GUGCAGCAGGCGCGAAACUUUACAAUGUGCGAAAGCACGAUAAGGGAACUCUGAGUGCCUCCUAAGGAGGCUGUUCAGGUGUCUAAAAGCACCUGAAGGAAGGGCUGGGUAAGACCGGUGCCAGCCGCCGCGGUAACACCGGCAGCCCAAGUGGUAGCCACGUUUAUUGGGUCUAAAGCGUCCGUAGCCGGCUGGGUAAGUUCCUUGGGAAAUUUGGCUGCUUAACAGUCAAGCUUUCAGGGAAUACUGCCCGGCUUGGGGACCGGGAGAGGUCAGAGGUACUCCGAGGGGUAGGGGUGAAAUCCAUUAAUCCUUGGGGGACCACCGGUAGCGAAGGCGUCUGACCAGACCGGGUCCGACGGUGAGGGACGAAGGCUAGGGGCGCGAACCGGAUUAGA